CCUACGGGUGGCAGCAGUGAGGAAUAUUGGUCAAUGGCCGUAAGGCUGAACCAGCCAAGUAGCGUGAGGGAAGACUGCCCUAUGGGUUGUAAACCUCUUUUAUGCGGGGAUAAAGGUGUCCACGUGUGGAUGUUUGCAGGUACCGCAUGAAUAAGGACCGGCUAAUUCCGUGCCAGCAGCCGCGGUAAUACGGAAGGUCCGGGCGUUAUCCGGAUUUAUUGGGUUGAAAGGGAGCGUAGGCCGGUCUUUAAGCGUGCCGUGAAAUUUUGUGGCUCAACCCCGUACUGCCGUUGAAACUGCAUCCCUUGAGUGCGCGAGAAGUAUGCGGAAUGCGUGGUGUAGCGGUGAAAUGCAUAGAUAUCACGCAGAACUCCGAUUGCGAAGGCAGCAUACCGGCGCGCAACUGACGCUCAUGCACGAAAGCGUGGGUAUCGAACAGGAUUAGAUACCCUUGUAGUC
rnacentral:rRNA from 1 species